ACCUGCGCGAUAUAUAUAUAGCUGCACAUAUAUACUCAGCUCUGGAUCUCUUAUCACCUGGCUGAGGAAGGGGAACGAAGUUCGAGAGGGCGGAGGGUUGUCGCCAUGGUUACUGAGCACACACGGGGUACCGCUGAUAAGCCGCUCAGAUCACCGCGCAGAGAGAGUACCAAGGCCGUGCAAGAAAAGCACGGGAAAUACGAUGGAAGAAGGAGCAGCGACGAGUGCGAGAGCAGGACGACCGCAGGAAGUACAAAGGCGUUGGGGGAAGGAUAGAGACGCACAUGACGUUAUCAGAAUUUCCGGCGUUCGCCGAUAAAACGCGCGUCACCGAGCGGUCGCCUCGAGCGUUCGUGCUUCAAGAAGAGCGUUUGUCGUGUACCUGCCAAAUUAUUUCUGUGUCAGUUACCGACACACAGGCCUGGGAAAUGAUCGGCGAAUUGAUGCAGCUCGAACGUUCGCAAGCGCUGCAUCGGCGUCGAGUGCUUCGGCGUGAAGAUUCGCCGCGAAUCCGCAUAAAAACGAUUCGCACUAAGAAAUUUUUCCUAGUAGAAAGGCCGAGCUAUGCUGAGGAGCGAGCAAGCGAGUGAACGUGUCACUUGACGACGUAUGAAAAAAAAUAAGAGAAUUUGUCUCAGGUUACCCGGUGAAAAAAGAGAAGAAAAGUAAGGCGGAGAAGGAGAGAAGCCGCGGUGAGGUCGGCGUACGCGAGCAGCACAUCCGGCAGAAAUGCGACUGGGAAGCAAUCGGAUAUUGCAUGUGGGUAAGCAAGAAGCUGCUGAUGCCGUGUCCGAGUCCUACGAACUCUCUCAGGGAGAGAGAGGGCAUUACGUAUGUGUAUACGCGCGGGUCGAGUUGCGUUCUCGCGCCUUCGUGACGCCACCUUGACCCACAAAUAGUAGGUUAUUAUUAAUCGCCGGAUUAAUAAUCGCCGCGAGCGCGCGAGAAGAGGAAAGGGAGAGAUGGGCUUCAUGUCUCUUUCGAAAAUAUGACCCGCUAUUUUCCUUUUUCUCUCCUUUUCUCUUCAAGUCGCGAUAACGCGCAAGUGAACGGCGCGGAAAUGAACUGUCUAUCGCGAGCUUAAUCCUAGAAAGAUAGUGUGAGUAACUUUUACUCAUACUGGAAGUCAAACUCCUUAAAUCUUCUCUCGAAUCUCCAAAUAAGAUUAGCUUUUAUGGGAGCGGAAAUUUAUUUAAAACGAACGAAAAGUGACAGUAUUUUCACUCGAUAUAAAUGGUGAAAAUACUGUCAAUCUUGCGAUGCAAGAGUGAAUGUCUCACUCAAGUUUAGAGUAAAUCCCGACUUUAUAUGAGCGAAUGUUUUAAUCGAUUAGAGUAAAUAUGUUUUGUUGACGGUGGAGUCACGAUCAGAUUCACUCUUCAAUUUGGAGUGAAAAUAUUCGACGAUCCAUAGUGAAAGAUUCACUCUAUAUAAAUGAAAAAUCACUUGAAUUCAAGUGGUCAUUCAUUUUGAGUGAAAUUUCACUUCAAGAAAUUUGAAGAGUAGUAUUUUAUUUAUAUUUCAAAUCCAAGUAUGCUAUUUUUAAAAUAAGCGUAUAAUUUGAUUGAAGCUCUUUUUACAUGUUUUGUACAAUUUCAGUAAAUCACCUUAUUUAAUAUGUUUAAGACGUGUAAAUUAUACGUUUAAUAGUAAUACGUUUAAAUAUGUUAAAUGACGUGACUUGAAACAGCAAGAAAUAUGUAAAUUCAGUCAAAAUAAUACACUUGACAUAUUACUUGAAUGUGAGUAAAAAUUAUUUAUCUCUUCAUUGUAUCGUAGGUUAUCACUACCUUCCUCAGAUUAAAGCUUUCAGUGAAUAAAAAUUAUUCACGCUACUUUUCCAGGGUCAAUAAAUACGACUGAUAAUAUAGUGAUGUGAGAAUUCAAUCGGUGAAGUAUGAAUCUACGGAAUUUAUUGUGCAAGGCAAAUUAAAUUCGCGAUACUCGCAAACUAACAAUUUUACUUUGGAGGAUCAGCGUACAUUGACCAAGUCGUUGAAUCAAAAUCAAAAUCGAUCUCGUUGUUCUAUGGCGUCUAUAAUAUCGGUGCGCUCAGUGGAAGAGCGUCCGUAAUGAGAUAUGAAAGGACGCGUGAGGGGAACGAAGCGGGCAAUUAAAAUGUGAGCAUUGAGUUACCGCGCCGAGCCGACAUGAGGACGAGGAGGUCAGAGGACACGAGAAUCUCUUCGAGAUAGGAGCUGAAUCGGACUGGGAAGCAAUCGGAUAUUAUGUAAGCAAGAAGUAUAGCUGACGUAGCUGGGUAUCCUCCUCUAUGGGGUCCCUCUCCCCCCUCUCUCCCGUUCCCCCGUCGCGCUAUACGUAUAAAGAGCGUGGGUUCGCGUUGCACUUUCGCGCCCGAACUACGCCGUUGCAUGUAUAUUUCUCGACCUUCGCGACAUUCUUCCUGCGCGUGUGGAGACGCACUGAGAGAAAGAUGUUUGGUACAUGCGACAGUAAUCAUAUAGAGAAAUGAUUACUACACACAAAUUAUGGUCAAAACAACCAUUUUCUAUUAGAUGAAAAUUGUUGGAUUUUUUAUGAAAUUCCACUAUAAUGUUAGUAGAUGAUAACCUUAUAUACAUUUUCGUACUGGAACAAGAAAUAUAAUGAUAAGGCCAAAAAUAAUCAUCACUCAAAAAGGUUUUUGCUAGACCAGGUAAAAUUUGAAAUUACGGUUAAAAUUUUUCGCUUUUUGUAUUUGCUAGAAAAUUAUCUGUGAUAUGCUGAAUCGUAAAUAACAGCAGCAACAUUCUAGCAAUAUUUGCAAGUAAAUUCGGAUGGCUGUGAGGAUUUUCGUUUGUCUCUCGCAUUUUUUGUUUAUCAUAGUUACUUUCAUAAGAAGUGUAAUCAGUCUUAAUCUGGAUAGACACCACACAAAGAGACUCUCUUGCUAAAUUUCAUGAAUAGUUUAGAUAUAUAUUCUAUCUCUAUCAUCUGUACUGAUUAAAUACAAAACACAUAUGCGAUA